AGCGACCGGGCUACACAGGUGAUGAAGGGGGGAACUGCAUCCUGGGAUCCGCAGUUUCGCCUGUCCACCCGCCAAAUCCUAAGAGUGGCUGAGCGCAGUUAUUGGGGAGUGGUAGAAACAGGGUUUCACCAUGUUGGCCAUGCUGGUCUCGAACUCCAGAACUCAAGUGAUCCGUCCGCCUCGGUCUUCCAAACUGCUGGGAUUACAGGCGUGAGCCACCGCGCCCAGCCUUUGGGGAAGUUCUUUUUACCGUCCAUCAUCCAUUGCCACCACACCUUCUGCUUACGAGUUAUUUAUAAUAAGUUUAACUAAAAGAGAACGAGAGAACAUCCCCUGAAACCCAAAGUUUGUCAUUCUAUACAGCUUUCCUGCCUGCAAAAGAGGAGGAGCAGACUCAUCCAGCAAAUCACCUAAAAAGUUUGAAGAUCAAAAAGCCUAGCUCCAGUUUCAGAUCCUUCCCCUACCUUUCUGAACACUAGUUUCUUCCUCUGAAAAACGAAAGAGGGAACGGGACCGUAGAGUGGAGUGGGCACAAGAAUCGCAAGUCCCUUCUGGCUAUGACGCUGCAAGACUCUAGGUACAGUUUAGGACUCCGGGCAUUCAGAUCCCCGGGACUUGUCAAGUUCUCCUCAUUGACAUUUUUGAUAUUUCGUGACAACACAAAUUCAUCACAUUUUUGUGCUGUGUGUUAUAUGUGGGAAGGAGAUUUUAAAAAGAUUGCCUUUUGAAGUUAUUGGAUAGCUGUGUUACAGAAGAAAACAUUGCCUUCAAGAAGUUAUUGGAUAGAUAUGUUACAGAAGAAAAGACGUUUGUUUCAUUUUUGACUUUGCAGGAAAAGAAUAUGUAACACAUCAGAAUUCUUCUCUCCUCCCUGGCCUUAGUCGAGUACCUGAGGGGCAUUAAAGCACUUCCUCCUUGCAAUCACUUACCCAGCAUAGUCCUUAAUACAGAUAUCUUCAUUGUUGAAUGAAUGAA
rnacentral:lncRNA from 1 species